rnacentral:rRNA from 1 species
GAUGAACGCUGACAGAAUGCUUAACACAUGCAAGUCGAUUCGAUUUACCUUCGGGUAUUGAGGAUGGCGGACGGGUGAGUAACGCGUAAGGAACUUGCCUCUUGGUCUGGGACAACUGUUGGAAACGACAGCUAAUACCGGAUAUUAUGAGAUUCUCGCAUGGGAAACUUAUGAAAGCUAUAUGCGCCAAGAGAGAGCCUUGCGUUCCAUUAGCUAGUUGGUGGGGUAACGGCCCACCAAGGCGACGAUGGAUAGCCGGCCUGAGAGGGUGAACGGCCACAAGGGGACUGAGACACGGCCCUUACUCCUACGGGAGGCAGCAGUGGGGAAUAUUGGACAAUGGGCCACAAGCCUGAUCCAGCAAUUCUGUGUGCACGAUGAAGGUCUUCGGAUUGUAAAGUGCUUUCAGUUGGGAAGAAGAAAGUGACGGUACCAACAGAAGAAGCGACGGCUAAAUACGUGCCAGCAGCCGCGGUAAUACGUAUGUCGCAAGCGUUAUCCGGAUUUAUUGGGCGUAAAGCGCGUCUAGGCGGAAAAAUAAGUCUGAUGUUAAAAUGCGGGGCUCAACUCCGUAUUGCGUUGGAAACUGUUUUUCUAGAGUACUGGAGAGGUGGGCGGANCUACAAGUGUAGAGGUGAAAUUCGUAGAUAUUUGUAGGAAUGCCGAUGGAGAAGUCAGCUCACUGGACAGAUACUGACGCUAAAGCGCGAAAGCGUGGGGAGCAAACAGGANUAGAUACCCUGG